UAAUUAUUGUGAUUGAAAUGUUGGGUC
rnacentral:piRNA from 1 species